rnacentral:tRNA from 1 species
GUUACCGUAAAUGCAGAGGUUAGCAUGUCCGCUUAAGACGCUGAAAGCUUAGGUUCGAAUGCUAACGAAAACA